rfam:Gossypium raimondii Chr06_contig_356, whole genome shotgun sequence.
AUGCCAUGAUGAUUAGAUUUCCGCAAUAACUUCUUAAAUCUCUCCCAUGUAUCAUAAAAAGAUUCCUAGUCAAGUUACUGAAAUGUGGUGAUUUCAUAUCUUAGCUU